rnacentral:rRNA from 1 species
CCUACGGGUGGCAGCAGUGAGGAAUAUUGGUCAAUGGACGAGAGUCUGAACCAGCCAAGUAGCGUGAAGGAUGACUGCCCUAUGGGUUGUAAACUUCUUUUAUAUGGGAAUAAAAUGUUCCACGUGUGGGAUUUUGUAUGUAACAUAUGAAUAAGGAUCGGCUAACUCCGUGCCAGCAGCCGCGGUAAUACGGAGGAUCCGAGCGUUAUCCGGAUUUAUUGGGUUUAAAGGGAGCGUAGGUGGAUUGUUAAGUCAGUUGUGAAAGUUUGCGGCUCAACCGUAAAAUUGCAGUUGAAACUGGCAGUCUUGAGUACAGUAGAGGUGGGCGGAAUUCGUUGUGUAGCGGUGAAAUGCUUAGAUAUCACGAAGAACUCCGAUUGCGAAGGCAGUUCACUGGACUGCAACUGACACUGAGGCUCGAAAGUGUGGGUAUCAAACAGGAUUAGAUACCCCAGUAGUC